rnacentral:lncRNA from 12 species
AGCCUCCCCAAUGGAGGAAAUCCUCUCCUGGGACUGCGGCUGCAGGCAUGGAGGCCGGAGGAGGAAGAGUCGAUUGCAUUCUUGGAGCUAACAAGUGAGCCAGUGAGGCAGAAGGGUAACAGACGCCACCCCUGUACCUCCCACCACUGCCCUCCUGCACCGCCCUCCACGCUCCUCCAGGGACCCCUGGGUCCCAAGAAACUUUCCUUCCAAACCAUGAGGUCAGAGCAAAACCCCUCCACCGAGUCGUGAUAAGCCCGGGCACGCGCUGUCCCCUCCGUCUCCGGUCACCCUCAAAUCUCCGGUCCCGUUCAAGACCCUUCACACCCUGGGGGCCAGCGGAGAGCACCCCUGACCACGCCGCUCGAGUGACCCCCGCCCAUCAGCCUCUCCAUCCUUCUCCCUGAUUUAUCAACCUCUUUGCCUUUUCUUAAAUCCCUCUGUUUCUGUUUUGUCGUUUACGGAUGAGCUUAUUUCUGCCUCGGCUCCGUGGGGCAGGGGCCUGCAUGUCCCGUUCGCCGCGAGCGGCCCCGGCUGCACAGCAGACAUCAGGAAACCCGAGUUUCAUGACUGAAUGAAUGAGCUGGGUGGACUUCUCUCGGCUUCUAGAAAUGGAUCCUGUGUGUCCCCAGGGCUGCGAAGCAGCAGACCUCAGCCCGCGGUCAGAUGGAAAAUCCCGCAUCAGAGCGCCACGCACAGCACCAGGCGGCGCGCGCAGGACGAUGCAUUUUAAAAGAUUUCACCACUUUUAAAAAUGUGGAAACCCUCAGAUUAGAAAGUAUCUAUUCUUUUACUACCAUCCGGAGCCCAGGGCCCAGCAAGGGGAGACAGAAAGGAGACCUGCCUGCCCUGUGCCCACACGACGGGACCCACACGACACGGCCCCGACCCUGGCAUGGGGCUGCCACUUGGCUACUUUCACAGGAAAGCGGCACCCAGUGUUUUUUGCCUCCUGCAGAAGGAGCCCGGGAGCCUUGCAGGAGCCUGGUAGGUACCGAGGGCUGUGGGCAGCAGCAGCAGGUACAUUCAGCCCCAGUCUCGGGUGGGUGGAGGGGAGCCCCCGGGGCGGCCCCCACCACUGCCGAGCCCCUUAGGUGAAUGAGAGGCAUCCCCCUGAAUUUUCGGCAGCCUCUCUGGCGCUAAUGGGGAAACUGACCCCAGUCAGGGCCACCCGCCCAUCCCCCCAGCCCAGGGUUUAAUUUUGCCGAGGCCUGGGCUGGUGGUCCCUGCUGGGGAGCAAGGCAGCCCCCGGCCCCCUGCCACUCCUUGUCAUUUCUGUCUUCUUGGUUAAUUUUUUAUUUUGAAAUAUUUCCAAAAAAAAAAAAACAAAUAAUUUCAGACUUGCAGAAAACGUGCAGAGAAAAAUGUGCGUAUCCCCGCCCCCCAGCUUCUCCUAAUAGUAACAGUCUAUGUGAUGGCACAACUGUCAGGACCAAGAAACUCCACAUCGAUGCAGGACCGUUAACUGAGCUUCAGACUUUAUUUGGAGUUCACCAAUUUCCCCCCUCACGUCUCCUUUCUGUUCCGGAUGCACAUGGCCUUUGGGCAUCCACCCUCCGUCUCUAGCAGCGGGGGGGGGGGGGUUCUCUGCUCCUUUCUGGUCUUUCAUGGCCUUUCCCUGUUCGAAGAGUGUCAGUCCUGUAUUUUGUAGAUUCUACUUCAAUUUGGGUUUGUCAGAUGUCCCCUUGUGUUUUAAAAUGAGACAUAAUUCACAUUCCACAAAAUGCACCCUCUUACAGCGUACAACGCCACGGCUCUGGGUAUGCACAAGAUUGUGCAACAGUCACCACGAUCAAGCCCCAGGACAUCUCCCUCACCCCAGGAGGACGGCCCCGGCCCCCUUCCCACCCCCCCAUACCCCCCACCCCCCACCCUCCGCCAGCCAUGGCACUUUCUCUGGUUCCCUCUCUCCGCGACUCUGUUCCUGCUUUUCUUUCGGUUUCUGUUUGUGUCUCUGCCUGUGAGUCACGCUGUUGCUCUCACACACGUUCUACUUUUCUCUGUGUCUGCAUCUGUCUCCCUCUUUCAUUCUGAAGGGGACACAGGCAAAGCCAAGAAAACAAAUAAAGAGCAACCAGAGGGCA